GCACAGCCGGAGGCCAUGGAGUUCCUGGGGACAGCAGCAUCCAGCCUCGCUGCCCGUGACUGACACGAGUGUCUUGAGGUCAAUUAAAACUUCAGUCCCAGAGGACAUAGAAUGGAUUCACAAACCUUGGAUGAUUCUCUGCACAGACCAUGGUGCUAUGGGAGGUUCCAGGCUGCAUCCAAAACUUUUGAAAGGAUCACUUGGGCUCCAGCAGGAACUGAGGAUUCUGAAACACGUCUGACCUGACAGGCUUGACAUUUUCAGGAGAAUCACGUGAUGCUGA